rnacentral:rRNA from 1 species
AACGAACGCUGGCGGCAUGCCUAACACAUGCAAGUCGAACGAAACCUCCGGGACUAGUGGCGCACGGGGGCGUAACGCGAGGGAACCUGCACUUAGGUUCGAAAUAACUCCCCGAAAGGGGUGCUAAUACCGGAUAAUGUCUUCGGACCAAAGAUUUAUCGCCCUGGGAUGGGCCAGCGUUGCAUUAGCUAGUUGGUAGGGUAACAGCUUACCAAGGCAACGAUGCGUAGCUGGCCAGAGAGGGUGAUCAGCCACACUGGGACUGAGACACGGUCCAGACUCCUACGGGAGGCAGCAGUAGGGAAUCUUCCGCAAUGGGCGAAAGCCUGACGGAGCAACGCCGCGUGAGUGAUGAAGGUCUUCGGAUCGUAAAACUCUGUUAUUAGGGAAGAACAAAUGUGUAAGUAACUAUGCACGUCUUGACGGUACCUAAUCAGAAAGCCACGGCUAACUACGUG